rnacentral:rRNA from 1 species
AGAGUUUGAUCCUGGCUCAAAAUCAACGCUGGCGGCGCGCUUAACACAUGCAAGUCGAACGAGAAAGCCCGCAAGGGUGAGUAAAGUGGCGUACGGGUGAGUAACACGUGGGUAAUCUACCUUUUGGUGGGGAAUAACCCUGGGAAACCGGGGCUAAUACCGCAUAAGCUCGAAAGAGGAAAGGAGCAAUUCGCCGAAAGAGGAGCCCGCGGCUGAUUAGCUAGUUGGUGAGGUAAAGGCUCACCAAGGCUAUGAUCGGUAGCCGGCCUGAGAGGGCACACGGCCACACUGGCACUGAAACACGGGCCAGACUCCUACGGGAGGCAGCAGUGGGGAAUCUUGCACGAUGGGGGAAACCCUGAUGCAGCGACGCCGCGUGAGUGAUGAAGCCCUUCGGGGUGUAAAGCUCUUUCGGCAGGGACGAUAAUGACGGUACCUGAAAAAGAAGCUGCGGCUAACUACGUGCCAGCAGCCGUGGUAAUACGUACGCAGCGAGCGUUGUUCGGAGUUACUGGGCGUAAAGAGUGCGUAGGCGGUUUUUCUAAGUUGUGGUGUGAAAUCUCCCGGCUUAGCUGGGGAGGG